AAACUAGGACCGAGUAAAAUAGUCAUUUCUUUGAUUGGUCUACAAGUGGCAAAGAUGUUUUAAACACUUCCUCUAUGAUGUACGAGGUGCAGUAAUUCUAUGGCGAAAUCAGAUGUUUUAAACAGUUCCUGUAUGAUGUACGAGUUACAGUAAUUCUAUGGCGAAGUCAGAUAUCGUGCAAGUUACACUGUACAGUAGUACAAAUGGGAAUAUAUGGAAUGAAAAGAUAUGCGUAAAAACUAUACGGAAUGAGUGAUUGUUUAGGAAAAGUUAAAUUUAUUCGAUAAAAGAUUUA